rnacentral:ncRNA from 1 species
GUAAUAACGAACGGCAAGGAGUCAGCAGAGGUCGUAGUAGUGAGGAAGCAUCUGUAAUGGAUGUGGAGCGAAGGAC